UGAGGCGUUGCAGGAGGCGACAGCAGGGAGGUGCAGGGCUUUUAUCAGCGCCUCACAUGCGUCUCUGAGUGUUUGUUUUUAAUCGCUGCAGAGGAAACGCUCAGCCUUCCUGUUUAGCAGCGCUUCUCACCAACAUGUCUCCUUUCUUCUCUCUGGUCCUUCUGGGUUUGUGCCGCUGCAGCAGACAGAGCACAGGUCAGAUGUUGCUGGACUAUCCUCGACUCCUCGGCCCCUCAGAGGCCCUGGUGAAGGACGUCGUUGAAUUUCUGUGUGAAAUUUCGAAUCCAAACAAUCAGUCCAUCCUGCUGAGAUUAUUCAAGCAGGGAGACCGUCAGAAGGUGCUGGGAGUCUCCAGCCUCCUGAAGGGAGGCGAGGUUGGGUAUUUUCCCAGAGUCAUCACCCCGUCAGACGAGGGGGACUUGGAGUGUGAGGCCAGCGUACAAAACAGCAGUCGGACCAUCCCCACCGUCAGCCAACCCCUCCCGUUCAGAGUCAUCGAACCAGUCGAAGGUGCAGAGGUUGUCUACUCAGGUCCAAACGAGCUCUUUGAAGGAAGGAACCUGGAGCUAAACUGUACCGUUAAAGCUGGCAAUCAUUUGUCCUUCAAGUGGCGGCACAACGCACGACUCGUCUCUCCGAGUCUCUUCCAUCGGAUUAAAGACGAUCAUCUUCUGAUCUACAGAGCCACUUCUAAAGACAGCGGCGCCUACAGGUGUGAGGUCACCAACAGGUUCAACGAGACAAAAGUCUUCUCCUCCAACAGCUCUGAAGUGGUGAUCACAGUAAAAGACUUGGUGUCAGAACCUAGCAUCUUGGUCACGGUGUUGAAGGAAGAGGACCACAGUUACUCUGCCGUGGUCACCUGUCAGACUGACAGAGGACAUCUACCCAUCACCUUUUUACUCUACGGUACGACAGGGCUGAUCUCCAACCUGACAGCUGUGGACCGACAUGCAGCUUUUAAGGUUCCUCUGGUCUUGGACCGCCACUUGGGAUGGCUCCAGUGCCAGGCCAGCAAUGGGGACCAGACUACACACAGUCAGUGGUUGCCCUUAAAAGUUGAGAAGGUUGGCGGGCCUGUUUCCAUCCAGUCCCAGUAUGACAUGGCAGAAAACUACGCCAUCAUCGGCCUGAGGUUUUACUGCAAGGCAGCCAAAGGAACUCACCCACGUUUCCAGUGGUUCCUCAACCAAACCCUGCUGAGCCACAGAGGGAGCUUCUACUAUGUGUUCGACCAGCUGCCGGAACAGUCCAUCCUGCUCGUGUCCGUGGGACGCCGCAGCGCCGGGACGUACCACUGUGAGGUGUCAGACAGCUUUGAUAACACCACUGCUAUCAGCAGUAAGAGGCACCAUGUGGAUAAAGAAGUGCUGAACCGCCUUCCUGUCUUUGUGGUGGCAAUCGUUUUUGGAUGUUUCACACUGGACGAAGACGGUCUGGGGAGACGUCUCAGUAAGUUCCCUUUCUCACUUUGUGAAAAGAUGCCACCUUUCUGGUCUCUAGUGAGGAAAUCGUGAAGAUGGAUGUGAUCUGAAAACCAGGGGCGGAUUUAGGACUGAAGAAGAUCCGGGGCUUAACACACACACGCACGCUCACGCACACACACACACACACACACACACACACACACACGUGACACGCACUAAUCAACAUCAUAUAUAUUUGUCUUGUACCACAUAAUUUUUAAUCUGAAGCUACAUAUUAAGCAUGUUCAGGGCAGAGUAUUGUUCCUGUUAGUGUUUAGUGUGAGAUGAUAAUAAAUAUUCCCUUUUUUCUCCAACAACUUUACCUGAUAGUAAGCUAACUUUAGGCAAACCAGCAGCACAACAAAUAUUUUCAAAUAAGACUCACAAACCUGAGUCAACACCAGUCUCAUCAAAGCUGGGGUUCUGUUGUACUUUUUGUCUAAAAAACGUCCUUAUGUCCAUCUUCACUCAUGCGUUUCAGGCAGAGACUGUAGAAGCCUGCUGCUGAAGGGCUUCUUCUUCAGUGGUGGAGGCUCAGGCAGGCUGUAUACAAACUACUGCCAGCUGCUCCCUCUCUGUUGGACUUUGGUACUGCAUGUUACUUCCACAUUUUAGAUCUGGGGCUUUUCAUAAAACAUUCGGGGCUUGAGCCCAAGUAGCCGGCCUAACGCCACCCCUGAUGAAAACACACCUUUCUUCUACUCUGGAUCUGGAACCUUGUUGAUCUGAGUUCACUCAUACUUACAGUUCAGCCCGAUCGGUUAAAGCCAGUAAAACAGACGAAAGGCCGAGAUCCAACAACGUAGCCAGAGCCUCCUCAGAAUGACACAGCAGGCUGUUUUCCUUUCAGGUCAGGUCUGGCACUGGAUCACCUGGUCUCAGCACUUGGAGACGACAUGGAGUGGUGGAUAAAGAGUGAGGACCCUGAUGAGAUGAAGGCACCCAGAGACUACGAGUUUUACCAGGAAUCUGAAGCUUCCCUGGAUGAAUGGUCUUAAGCUGAGGAGAGGAAAUGUCUGGAGGAUGAAGAAGACCAAGAAACAAUUUAAAUCUGUUUGUUCAAAUAACUUCGGUGUUGGUUGGACGUUGGACAGACAUUCACUCCACGGUGGCGUGUGCAAGUGCUGCAGACAGUGUUUAGCUGAGGACUCCUCGUGAGAGCUUAGGGACCAUCAACUAAUUUAUAUUCAUUUGAAUUACUUGAUUAAAUUACUCAAAAACAGUCAACGGUCGCACUAAACCAAACGAACAAAACAAAAACAUUUACCAACACAUUUGAUCAAAUCUGAUCUUUUUAUUGUAGUUUUUAAAUAAAAAAAUAAGUUAUUUCCUAUGUUAAUUGCUCUAAAUACUCAAAAACAUUUGUUAACUAAACAAGACCAACGAGACAGCAUUUUUCAAGAUUUGAUCUUUUUUAUUUAAUUUUUUAUCAAAAAUGAAGUUUCAAUAGCUCCCAUGUUAACUGAUUUAACACCAAAACACUUUCUAAAUGAUCUUACUGGCUGGACCAAUGAGACACAGUGGUUGUUUUCACAUUUCACAACAUCUGAAAACAAAGCUAGGGGCUCUAGAAAAAGAUCCCUUCAUUUAGGAUAAAAAUCACAAUAAAAAGAUCAGAUUGUGUGAAACGUGUUAAAACUGACGUGUCUGCUAAAUGUAGUUCAGUAACAUAACUCAGUUGUUUUGGGUCAUUUAGGCGAUUAUUCUGGAAGCUCUAGACUUUGUUGUACUCGUUAACGAAGGACUACUAAUUUACUGACGGUCCCUAAGCGAAACAGCGGGCCGUCUGUGGCGCGGCGCGCGGCAUGAAGCCUUGCGCUGACCCAGUGACCUGUCCAGUCCAGCUUCAUACUAAAUUCGGUGUUCAAAAUCAAACCAAUUCUGAACUUUUCUGUUUUUAUGAAUAAAAAACAUCAAACCUGGUUCUUUAUAAGAUCUUUUACGGUCGGCAGGAGUAAAAGUUCAGCACCUGUGUGGUUUUGUUAAGCUCCGCCCAACUCCAAUUCAAAGCAUGUCGCGUUCAUCGUGUCUCGGAAAUCGGACCUUCAAGACGUUCUGCCCACAGAUAGCACCCCUCAGCCCAGGGCGGGGUCCAGUCCGGUCCAGUCC